AACGAACGCUGGCGGCAGGCCUAACACAUGCAAGUCGAACGUGAAGCCACCUUCGGGUGGUGGAAAGUGGCAGACGGGUGAGUAACGCGUGGGAACGUGCCUUUCGGUUCGGGAUAACCCAGGGAAACUUGGGCUAAUACCGGAUACGCCCUCCGGGGGAAAGAUUCAUUGCCGAAAGAUCGGCCCGCGUCGGAUUAGCUAGUUGGUGGGGUAAAAGCCUACCGAGGCGACGAUCCGUAGCUGGUCUGAGAGGAUGACCAGCCACACUGGGACUGAGACACGGCCCAGACUCCUACGGGAGGCAGCAGUGGGGAAUAUUGGACAAUGGGCGCAAGCCUGAUCCAGCCAUGCCGCGUGGGUGAAGAAGGCCCUAGGGUUGUAAACCCCUUUCAGCGGGGAAGAUAAUGACGGUACCCGCAGAAGAAGCCCCGGCUAACUCCGUGCCAGCAGCCGCCGUAACAC
rnacentral:rRNA from 1 species